rnacentral:lncRNA from 1 species
GGCCCUGAAGUGUGAUAUGUGGGAGGCAUGAGAAAUAGAAGAAAUUGCUGUAGAACCCUACUCUCAAGGUGAUAGUCUGCUUCUGGAGAGAAAAACAACUAAGGCAUAUAAAUAAGAAUAUGCAUGUGUGGCCCAAACUGAAAGUUUGAGUCCUGAAGAUGUAUGAGUAAGGGUGUGAUCAGUAGAAAAGUUGAAGAAAGUGAUUCAGAACUCUUUCAAGAACUAAAGAGAAGGUGAAACUCCAUGCAGAGAAGAAUAAGAUGGUAAUUUGGAGAGGCAAUGAUAGGCUGAUAGCAAGCCUUAGAUGUUUUCAAGGGUGGAGCCUCAGAGUAUACACGUUGGAUAUUGCAUUCCACAUUUCUGCCAAUAAGUCAAAAGUAGCCGUCAGCCUAACACUUGGGCCCUGUGGAAGAAACUUCUGUCCAAAGCUACCCUAUAGUUGGCUGCCUGGCUUCAGAGCUUUUUUUGAACUUGGAAGACUUCAAGCCCCAACUGAGGAAUCCUUGAUGCUCUGUUGUUUUGUCUUGCUAAAAUGUACAAGAAACUUGCACAGCUCUGUCCUUCAGGCUUAA